rnacentral:rRNA from 1 species
UGGGGAAUUUUGGACAAUGGGGGAAACCCUGAUCCAGCCAUCCCGCGUGUGCGAUGAAGGCCUUCGGGUUGUAAAGCACUUUUGGCAGGAAAGAAACGUCGCGGGUUAAUACCCCGCGAAACUGACGGUACCUGCAGAAUAAGCACCGGCUAACUACGUGCCAGCAGCCGCGGUAAUACGUAGGGUGCAAGCGUUAAUCGGAAUUACUGGGCGUAAAGCGUGCGCAGGCGGUUCGGAAAGAAAGAUGUGAAAUCCCAGAGCUUAACUUUGGAACUGCAUUUUUAACUACCGGGCUAGAGUGUGUCAGAGGGAGGUGGAAUUCCGCGUGUAGCAGUGAAAUGCGUAGAUAUGCGGAGGAACACCGAUGGCGAAGGCAGCCUCCUGGGAUAACACUGACGCUCAUGCACGAAAGCGUGGGGAGCAAACAGGAUUAGAUACCCUGGUAGUCCACGCCCUAAACGAUGUCAACUAGCUGUUGGGGCCUUCGGGCCUUGGUAGCGCAGCUAACGCGUGAAGUUGACCGCCUGGGGAGUACGGUCGCAAGAUUAAAACUUAAAUGAAUUGACGGGGGUCAUAGCUGUUU